rnacentral:sRNA from 1 species
AAACAGUAAGAGGCAGACCAACAGUGAUCCAGGGCUCUGAAAGCUAAUUGCUUCAAGAUCCUGCUACCAUUUUCUUUUGGGCUGCUUGCAAAGAAGAAUCCUUUGACUGAAGCAUAAUGGAAGUGAAGAAAGGCAACCAGCUGACACAGGAGCCAGAGUGAGACCAGCAGACUCUCACACUCAACCUACACCAUGAAUUUGUGUCUAUCUUCUACGCGUUAAGAGCCAAGGACAGGUGAAGUUGCCGGAGAGCAAUGGCUCUCUUUACUCCGUGGAAGUUGUCCUCUCAGAAGCUGGGCUUUUUCCUGGUGACUUUUGGCUUCAUUUGGGGUAUGAUGCUUCUGCACUUUACCAUCCAGCAGCGA